GAUGAACGCUGGCGGCGUGCUUAACACAUGCAAGUCGAACGAUGAAGCCCAGCUUGCUGGGUGGAUUAGUGGCGAACGGGUGAGUAACACGUGAGUAACCUGCCCUUAACUCUGGGAUAAGCCUGGUAAACUGGGUCUAAUACCGGAUAGGAGCGCCUACCGCAUGGUGGGUGUUGGAAAGAUUUAUCGGUUUUGGAUGGACUCGCGGCCUAUCAGCUUGUGGGUGAGGUAAUGGCUCACCAAGGCGACGACGGGUAGCCGGCCUGAGAGGGUGACCGGCCACACUGGGACUGAGACACGGCCCAGACUCCUACGGGAGGCAGCAGUGGGGAAUAUUGCACAAUGGGCGAAAGCCUGAUGCAGCGACGCCGCGUGAGGGAUGACGGCCUUCUGGUUGUAAACCUCUUUCAGUAGGGAAGAAGCGAAAGUGACGGUACCUGCAGAAGAAGCACCGGCUAACUACGUG
rnacentral:rRNA from 1 species